CAGAUCUGGUGGGUUGUUAUAGUGAUCCUGUUUGUAAUAUAUAGGAUAUCCGAUAUGAACGGUGGUAUAAAACGGACAGAUAAGUGGAGAGUGAAAGUGCCGAGAUAUCCAGCCACUCUGAACAGAUUGAUUAUCCCAGUUGCCCUCUGAUUUGAUCAAUAGCUGAGCCAUGUAUAGAAACGCCCUCAUCUUUUUGAUCCUGCUCGAUUUAGUGGUCUUCAGUACAAAUGUUAAUGCUGAUUUUAAUGGAACAACUGCAAACACGUCUGUGACCACUGAGCCGGUCUCCACACACACAAGCCUGUCUUCCUCAUCCACAUCCACGGAGCUGGACACCACGCAGGAUCCGCCGGACACCUCUGUCAGUCAACCUUCGGAAGAACCGCAGGGUUUAUCAUCAGCUCAGAUCGCAGGUAUAGCUGUAGGAUCCAUCGCUGGGGUGGCAGCUCUGGGUACGUGUUAAUAAAUGUUUGCGUUUAACACUUUAUAAAUGCAGUAUUUCAUCUUAUUCUGCGUGUGGAUUAAACCUAUAUUGAGAGAGUUAGUAUUCAUGCCCUGUAUGCAUGUCUGAUGUGUUCUUAUCUAAAAUUGCACGAGUACCUUCAGAAAUCCCAGGAGUCCAUUACUUUAUUAAAAAUUUGAGUAAGAUUUGAGACUAAGGCAGUUUUAUGCAAAAUUAUACUGCAUGUGAGUAGCACUGUACCUCAAGAGGUCUGUUAUCUAAUAAUAAAAACACACAUAGAUAUGGCAUUAAAACAGGUAACAAAACUCCACACUAAUUAUAUUGAGC